CCAAAACAUUCCAAUUCCAAAACCAACUCGUGUGGGGCUGAGGAAUAUUGAUCCUUGCAUCCUACAUUUGAAAUUAUUAAGGCUAUAGCAGGCUACUAUUAAAAAAUCACGUGAAGGAAUUUAACAGGGAAACAGAUUGUUCAAAAUCUCCCUUAUGAAGAACUUGUUCAGUCAUAUAGCUGCUCCUAUGGGUCGGAAAAUAAUAGGAUUGUUGGAAAACCAAGACAAU
rnacentral:lncRNA from 1 species